AGAAAAUGAAGACAUCUGUAGGAUCUGUCCUGGGACAGAAGGGGAAGAGAGAGCCCAGAGGCUGAGGCACAAGAAGGUCAGGACAGGAGCAUUUGAGAGAGGCAGCAGAGAGCUGGGUGAAAGUUGAGGAAUUUACUAUCAACCUUUUCUUGCAU
rnacentral:sRNA from 1 species